CUCUAUAAAAACCCCGCUAAUUUAAAAUUCUGGGCUCUCAAUUCUGAUCAGCUGCUUCGGUGACGAUUGGGAGCCCCUGCUCGAGCUUGAAUAAACGACCCUCGUGCGUUUGCAUCGGAAUCAGCUCCUUGGUGGUCUUUGGGGACUUCGCGAUCUGGCCACAACAGUUGGAAAGCAGAAGAGAUCAGCAGAGAGACUUACAGUGCACAAGUGGAAGACAUGAGGACUGCUCAUCAGCAAGGCCUGCUGAGUCAUGGCGAUUUUGGAGAUCACUCUGCAGAAAUACAGCAUUGUGUCUCCAUGUGAAGGCCAAAUCAGCAUUCCUGAAAGUUCCCAAUCUGCAGACAUACCUGGAUGCCCCUGGGAACCAGCUGGCUUCCUCACACUCAGCGAAGCUAGCCCACACACUUGACCGCUCUCAUGGAGGGUAUCCCAGGAGGGCCAGACACAGAUCACAGCUGACUUAUGCUGGGACACGUAAGGGCCAUUCUCAUAGCAUCCCACAGGCCAUACAGUGGGUGUGGCCCACAGAUGUUUGUUUGCCUGUUGGUUGGUUCCCCACACACACACACACCCCAUCCCACCCCCGUACUGGGGAUCCAACUCAGACCUUCCAUUUGCAAGGCAGGCAGGGUGCCACUGAGCUAAAUUCAUUUUUUCUUUUUUUGACAGAAAUGUCUUUUUAAAAUUGAGCUUGCAGCAGUGCAGUUAAAGCUUACCUGGCCCCACCUCAUAUUCUCAUAUUCAUGUUACCUGGCUAUCCCUUGCGCUCCCUAUUUUACUGUUAUUAUAUAGAUUCUAAAUUUUAAAGUAUUAAAUUGGUCUCCCCCUCCUUCUAUUUUCCUUUUCUGAUGCUGGAGAUUGAACCUUAGGCCUUGAGCAUGCUAAGUAUGCACUCCAACACUGAGCUUCAUCUCUAGCCCUAGAGUAUUCAAUUGGUUCAUUUCCUUCCCUCUCUCCCUCCCUCCUUUCCUGUUCAUUCUUUUUGUGAUGCUGCAAAUUAAACACAGGACACUCCACAUUCAAGGGAAGUACUCUACCAUUGAGUUAUAGCCCCGGCCCUUAAAUUGGUUCUUGAUGCUAAUCAAAAUGUAUUUUUGAUUCCCUGAGGCCAUAAGUAGAAGCAGUCAUUCUCUUGGUCUAAAGAAGAGAGCCUGGGCUAGUUUAAGGCCUGAGGAAAAGCCCUGCCAGCUGGAAACUUUCCAUUCAUGGACUUGAAGAACAACCCUGGGAAUUCCUUGACCCGAAGGUUCCGAGUGUGUGUUGGGGGGUGUUUCCUGAGUUUUGCAAUCCUUCCCAUCUAUAAAUGUCUUUUCAAACUAUUAUAAAGUUUUUCAUUCCAUCUCCCAUAUCCUCUAAAAUUAUCAUGAUUCCAUUAAAAGAUUUAAAACAUUUUCUUAUCUUUUUCUGUGCUGUUGGAUUUAGUUCAUGGCCAAAUUUUCAAUAUUUCUCAAUAACAAUAUCAAAAUACCUUCAUUCUUUUCAUACUGAGAACUAUUGUUUUAGGAGGGACACAAGAAUGUCACAACAGUUCAUUUACCAUCUGUAGAAGUUAACUUCUCUGAGCCUCAGUUUCCUCAAAUAUGAAAGGUACAACCUACUUACUUCAUAGCCUACCCAGGAGCUGACUGGGUUAGUGGGUAAGGAGUGCCUCAGUUGAGUGGAGAGCUCACAGAUACAGCAAUCAUCAUAGUCACCCUAAUGUCAUGAGCACUACCAGCACAGCCCUCACCACUAUCACUGCAGCGUUAAGCAAGACCAAUUGAUCAAAGACCACAAUGGUGUUAUUGUCCUAUCUGUACCCAACAAACUACUCUGAAAGAAGAUAUAUUGUUUUGUACAGAUUUGAUGAAUAGAAGUCACACUUUCAGAGGCCAUUUGUCACUGUCCAUGGCAGACAGACAACAGUCCAAGCCUUGGGUAUGUCCAAGUAGCAUGUAAAUAGUGAUCAGAUAUCCUGGAACCUAUAGGCCUUUGCACUGGAGCCUGGAAAUGAGUCCACCUAGCCGCUUCCCCACAUUCCCACUGGGUUUGUGUGGCGAACAACUGCAGGUGGAAACUGAUGUGCCUCUGAGACACAGGCUUCACCUGCAACUCUGAUGCCUAUCCCCAAAAUCUGUGUCCUCUGAUCUUGGGGUCACAGAAGAAGUGGCUGGUGAACUGGAGGCAUAAGCCCAGCAAAAGCAUAACUGAUAGAUGAGAAGGAGUUCUGGGGAAAUAUCUGCACUAUGGGAAGAGAGAAGUGGAGAGAGAGGUGCCAUGGAAUAAUUUUGCUUUAUGGGCAUCAAGCAGAGUGAGCUGGGAGGAAAUGGGAAGGUAGGUGAAGAGCUGAGCAUUCACUGAUGUGCUCCUUCAUUCAUGGCUCCACCAAGAGCAAAGGUGGAAGACAGAAUGUGGAACUAAAGGGCUUUGGCCCCACUGGCAGUUCCCUUGCAGUCCUGUGGCUGCCUGAGGACAGAGGGCCUGGCAGUGGAGUUGAAAGGCUAUGCAUCAUUAAGGGUUCCCCUCCCCUGCUGGAGGCCUCCAGAGCUGACAGGUGAGGGAGGGGCAAGAAAGUGGCCAGAGGUUUGGCGUCCUUGAGUGUUGUCUGGACUCACUGCACAACCAAGCCACCAAGGGAUGACACAGGCAGAUUCGGGGACUUGGGCUGAAGGGUGGUGCCUUCCCUGAGUGUGCCCACCACUGCUGAGAAGGAGAGGAGGGAAGGCCUAGGAUUCGGAACUGAAAUGCAGUGCUGCCUGACUCUGCAGGGACAUCACCACUGAUUCACUCAGCCAGCUUGACUCCCAUGGUGAACUCUGCUUACCAGCUGGUCAGCUCCUGAAACUGGCUCACUGUCAAGGACGUUUAAGGACAGUCAAACCCAGUAAUCUGGAUGUUUAAAAAACUUGAAAUUUUAA